rnacentral:rRNA from 1 species
CGCAUACGUCCUGAGGGAGAAAGCGGGGGAUCUUCGGACCUCGCGCGAUUGGAGUGGCCGAUGUCAGAUUAGCUAGUUGGUGGGGUAAAGGCCUACCAAGGCGACGAUCUGUAGCUGGUCUGAGAGGACGACCAGCCACACUGGGACUGAGACACGGCCCAGACUCCUACGGGAGGCAGCAGUGGGGAAUUUUGGACAAUGGGGGCAACCCUGAUCCAGCCAUUCCGCGUGAGUGAAGAAGGCCUUCGGGUUGUAAAGCUCUUUCGGCAGGAACGAAACGGCGCGCUCUAACAUAGCGCGUUAAUGACGGUAC